rnacentral:rRNA from 1 species
GGCUCAGGAUGAACGCUGGCGGCGUGCCUAAUACAUGCAAGUCGAGCGAAUGGAUUAAGAGCUUGCUCUUAUGAAGUUAGCGGCGGACGGGUGAGUAACACGUGGGUAACCUGCCCAUAAGACUGGGAUAACUCCGGGAAACCGGGGCUAAUACCGGAUAACAUUUUGAACCGCAUGGUUCGAAAUUGAAAGGCGGCUUCGGCUGUCACUUAUGGAUGGACCCGCGUCGCAUUAGCUAGUUGGUGAGGUAACGGCUCACCAAGGCAACGAUGCGUAGCCGACCUGAGAGGGUGAUCGGCCACACUGGGACUGAGACACGGCCCAGACUCCUACGGGAGGCAGCAGUAGGGAAUCUUCCGCAAUGGACGAAAGUCUGACGGAGCAACGCCGCGUGAGUGAUGAAGGCUUUCGGGUCGUAAAACUCUGUUGUUAGGGAAGAACAAGUGCUAGUUGAAUAAGCUGGCACCUUGACGGUACCUAACCAGAAAGCCACGGCUAACUACGUGCCAGCAGCCUUGGUA